rnacentral:rRNA from 1 species
AUUGAACGCUGGCGGCAUGCUUUACACAUGCAAGUCGAACGGUAACAGGCCGCAAGGUGCUGACGAGUGGCGAACGGGUGAGUAAUGCAUCGGAACGUGCCCAGUCGUGGGGGAUAACGCAGCGAAAGCUGCGCUAAUACCGCAUACGAUCUACGGAUGAAAGCGGGGGACCGUAAGGCCUCGUGCGAUUGGAGCGGCCGAUGUCAGAGUAGGUAGUUGGUGGGGUAAAGGCCUACCAAGCCAACGAUCUGUAGCUGGUCUGAGAGGACGACCAGCCACACUGGGACUGAGACACGGCCCAGACUCCUACGGGAGGCAGCAGUGGGGAAUUUUGGACAAUGGGCGCAAGCCUGAUCCAGCAAUGCCGCGUGCAGGAAGAAGGCCUUCGGGUUGUAAACUGCUUUUGUACGGAACGAAACGGUCCGGGUUAAUACCCUGGGCUAAUGACGGUACCGUAAGAAUAAGCACCGGCUAACUACGUGCCAGCAGCCGCGGUAACAC